CAGUAGCCACGGUAAUACAGAGGGUGCGAGCGUUAAUCGGAUUUACUGGGCGUAAAGCGUGCGUAGGCGGCUUUUUAAGUCGGAUGUGAAAUCCCUGAGCUUAACUUAGGAAUUGCAUUCGAUACUGGGAAGCUAGAGUAUGGGAGAGGAUGGUAGAAUUCCAGGUGUAGCGGUGAAAUGCGUAGAGAUCUGGAGGAAUACCGAUGGCGAAGGCAGCCAUCUGGCCUAAUACUGACGCUGAGGUACGAAAGCAUGGGGAGCAAACAGGAUUAGAUACCCCGGUAGUCUCUGUCUCUUAUAA
rnacentral:rRNA from 1 species